UGCUUUUGGCCCUUGUGUACAUGGCUUUGUAAUUUACUCAUUUCUGUUUGGAACUUGUAAAGCACGCUAUGUAAAUAAAUAGAGGAAACGUAAAGCUUACCCUGUAUCGCGAGUUUUCAGUCUGUUUUCCUCGCCUUUUCCAGCCUGUUUUCCUAGUGAUUAAAGUUUUACUGAACGACAGUCGCCACACAAAUGACACAGGAAAUUUAUUCCGGAUCUGGAAGAUAUACGAAGUUUACUCGGGAAUCAGUCGUGAUCCCUCCAAAAACCGGCAAAACUUCAGAAAGACAGGAGCGUUCUUAACUUAUGAACGAGCAGGAGUUGGUAAUGAAUCCCAGUACUCGCAGUCUGUAGAGUUGCUGAUCCUUACAAUGGAAGCAAACGUCUAGUUAGAAAGGUUCAGUUUUAGUUCUGAUUCUCGCAGGCAUUGAGGUUUCUUGAAAAAUCCGACGUCCAAAAGAGAACACUCCAGAAACCAGCACAGUAAUAUCUCAACACAUGCACUAUUUUGGAAUCGACUUUACAAGAGAAAGUGCCUUGCUCGCAUGACUUGCUUCAGACUAACCGCGUGGUCAAAAAUUAAUCAAAAUCCUUGUAAGUUUACGUGUGGCGAGUAUCACGGAUGAAGAAUUUAAGUGAGACUUUCGUGAUUUUUAGGAGAGUGAGUUUGAAUUUGAAAAAUGUCACCGACACUAAGGAGUGAGUAUCAGCUCUAGUGCUUGGUUUUUCCAAAGAGUGUAUCCUCAGACAAUGUUGGGUCUACAUAAAUUAAGAUUUGAUGUUUCCCGAAAUGGUAGUCAUCCUCUGAUUAGAUAUAACCUUUGAAAGUGCUAUGAUCAGUCUUGAAAAUAGAGAAAUUAAUUCAAAUUGUGUACAGCGUAUGGUUGAUUUAUUGAAAUAACUACCUCAACACGAUUUUUGACCAUGUAAAACCAUAUUUAAGCAUAUAUUUGUGUAAUUUUCAAUAAUCAGAACUUCUCGAGUAAGGAUAAACAAGAACUGAAGACACUAUAUGAAGCAACCAAGGAACGCGAAAGCAAGUCUCAUAGUAGUAUACCAUGCGGUGUCCACUAUGCAGCAUCCAAUUCAAUAAUAAGUAUGAUUAAGAUUAAUAAUUUUAUAUAUAAAAUGGCAAUCAGCCAUCAAAACAGUUAACUACAUAUUUUCUUGUGACGAUCUUCACGAGAAGAAUAUUUUCCAAAUAUUAGUCGAAUAUGCCAGAAAUAAUUUGAAAAAGAAACACAUUCAUUCAAACAUUACCGUGCGAUGCUGAUGCACUGAAAUAUCACCAUCUCGACAAAAACAUGUUCCUAUGGAAUUUCAAAAAAUCAUAAUUUUUUGUCCACGAGAGAAAAAUAAUCCAAGUAUAUUUUCCAUCAACCAAGUUAAGCUUAAACAAAUCUGAGACUUGCAAACCGAGCAGUGUCUUUUCUGCACUAUCGACUUCAAUAAGAAGUCUACUUUACGAACAAAACGUACGAUCUCAAUCCGCAAUUUGCAGUUAUUAACACAAAAAAUUUCCGAAAAUUGUUCACGCUCCCGCGUGAGAAUCACGUGAGUCGCACGCGUGGUUUGCCGGGCGCGGCGGCGUGUCCGGGCGCGGUGAGUUUGGCGUCUGCACUGGGCGCCGGGACUCGCGCGCGCCUUCAAUACUCGCGGCGGCAGCCCGCCCGACACGCGUGCGCCUGGAA
rnacentral:lncRNA from 1 species